rnacentral:tRNA from 1 species
GGGGAUUUAGCUCAGUGGUAGAGCGCUUGCCUAGCAAGCGCAAGGCCCUGGCUUCAGUCCCCA